rnacentral:rRNA from 1 species
AAAACGCUGGCGGCGUGCUAAUACAUGCAUGUCGAACGAGGAAAGCUUUCGGGUGAGUACUAGUUGGCGCACGGGUGAGUAACACGUGGGUAAUCUUCCUCAAAGCGUGGGAUAACCAGUCGAAAGAUUGGCUAAUACCACAUAAGACCACAGGAUCUGCGGAUCCAGGGGUCAAAGGUUUUUCGCUUUGAGAUGAGCCCGCGCAAGAUUAGCUAGUUGGUGAGGUAACGGCUCACCAAGGCAACGAUCUUUAGCUGGUCUGAGAGGAUGAUCAGCCACACUGGAACUGAGACACGGUCCAGACUCCUACGGGAGGCAGCAGUAGGGAAUAUUGCACAAUGGAGGAAACUCUGAUGCAGCGACGCCGCGUGAGUGAUGAAGGACUUCGGUUCGUAAAGCUCUGUCGUAUGGGAAUAAGAAAGUGAAUGUACCAUGCAAGAAAGGAUCGGCUAACUUAAU